rnacentral:rRNA from 1 species
UUAAAAUGAGAGUUUGAUCCUGGCUCAGGAUGAACGCUGGCGGCGUGCCUAAUACAUGCAAGUCGAACGCUUUGUUUUUAAUUGAUCUGAAGAGCUUGCUCUGAUUUGAUUUUAUCUGACAAAGAGUGGCGAACGGGUGAGUAACACGUGGGUAACCUACCUCUUAGCAGGGGAUAACAUUUGGAAACAAGUGCUAAUACCGU